UACGUAGGGUGCGAGCGUUGUCCGGAAUUAUUGGGCGUAAAGAGCUUGUAGGCGGUUUGUCGCGUCUGCUGUGAAAAUCCGGGGCUCAACCCCGGACUUGCAGUGGGUACGGGCAGACUAGAGUGUGGUAGGGGAGACUGGAAUUCCUGGUGUAGCGGUGAAAUGCGCAGAUAUCAGGAGGAACACCGGUGGCGAAGGCGGGUCUCUGGGCCGAUACUGACGCUGAGGAGCGAAAGCGUGGGGAGCGAACAGG
rnacentral:rRNA from 1 species